rnacentral:rRNA from 1 species
UACGUAGGGUGCAAGCGUUAAUCGGAAUUACUGGGCGUAAAGCGUGCGCAGGCGGUGAUGUAAGACAGAUGUGAAAUCCCGGGCUCAACCUGGGAACUGCAUUUGUGACUGCAUCGGCUGGAGUGCGGCAGAGGGGAUGGAAUUCCGCGUGUAGCAGUGAAAUGCGUAGAUAUGCGGAGGAACACCGAUGGCGAAGGCAAUCCCUGGGCCUGCACUGACGCUCAUGCACGAAAGCGUGGGGAGCAAACAGG